ACGGAGGGUGCAAGCGUUAAUCGGAAUUACUGGGCGUAAAGGGUGCGUAGGCGGAAUAAUAAGUUACUUGUGAAAGUCCCGGGCUCAACCUGGGUUGGACGGGUAAAACUGUUAUUCUGGAGUAUAGGAGAGGACAGUGGAAUUUCCGGUGUAGCGGUGAAAUGCGUAGAUAUCGGAAGGAACAUCGGUGGCGAAGGCGACUGUCUGGCCUAAUACUGACGCUGAGGCACGAAAGCGUGGGUAGCAAACAGG
rnacentral:misc_RNA from 1 species